GGGGCGCCGCUUCGGGAGCGCGGGCAGUUCUAGGAGGCCGACCAGGAGAGCCUCCCGGUUCCCCUUCCCCUUUUCUUGGACCCCGCGGGGACACCCCCUCGCCGCCACCCGGGCCUCCCCGAGUGCCCGAUUGCGGGUCCAGGCGGCCCAGGCCAGUCAAAAGGGAAGUGGGGUUACCCCACAGCCAGGCCACGGGGCUGGGGUCAGACCCGGGAGCCGGAGGUUGGAGACGUGCGACAGUCACCUGCGAGCAGGUCCCAGAGGGGAGACCCAGGGUUGCAGGGGACGCCCCUGUGUGGCAGCUACCCAGCCUUGGCCCACUGCCAGGCUGAGGCCAGAGGAUCACUUGAACAUAGGCAUCCGAGACCAGCCUGGGCAGCAAAUGUUACGUGGCUGCAUGACCAUACACUUCUGGGCAGAGCCCAGUGGAAGACAAGGAAGACUCAAGGAAUAGCCCUUGAGGGCUCAGGAGCUGUACAGAUGGGGUAGAGGGUGUGAGUGCUGGGAAGCGCCAUCCAUGAGAUUACGAGGCCUGUUAAUCUGAAGACAAAGGGAAUGAAGACAAAAAAGUGUCUGGAAAUGUGGGCAGAGACACCUGGGCCUUUACAGGGCACACUCCAGAGCUGUUUCCAGGCAGGGACCCCAGCAGAGAGAAGCCAGAGCUGGGACGCAGGCUUGCUUGCUCUUAUCUUCCCUCCGCUGGGGGGAUCGAGGGGAGAUUGGGCCCCUCUGCUCUGCCCUCCUGAUUUCCCGUCUAAGGGAUUUAGGAGACUCUCGCCUUUUCCUAAUCUCUCCCUUUGCAGAAUUUCUGCGAAGUCACAAUCCCAUUUCCAGGCAAAGGUGCUUGGUCAUAAAGAUAAUAAAGAUAUUCAUUCAUGAUGGAGGGG